UGCUGCUUCCUCAGAGAAGAAAAAGAGAGAGAGAGUUGGAGAAUAGAAAGAAAUGCAGGAAGAUCCGGAAGAGGGUGAAACAGAAGAUAUGGAGGCUGCAAGAGGAGAAGCAAAGAAUUUUCAAUAUUUCUGGGAUCCUCAAUGACUAAUCAGAAGUUCCUUUGUACCUUCCGGUGAUUUUGACUUUCUAAAGUUUCAUUACAGAUGCUCCCCUUGAAAAUGACAUUGCCACCAAAUUGGGAUGACUUCAGUAGCAGCAAUUUCUUCUGUGAACCUUAACUCUAACUCAUCAUUCCCUACUGAUGUCUUGCAAGAUAUCUCAAAUUACUGGGAACCAGGACAUGAGAAUUUACUCGGAUGGUCUGGCAGAAGGACUGACCCAUGGCUCCAGCCUACCUUUGUUGCAGCUUGGAAGUGGUGCCUGUGUUACCUGGGAGGGAAAAACAAGAGUUCUGGCAGCACUGGAGAGAAUCACCAAUAAGAAAAGAUUUGAAGUGAUAUUGACUCUACUACCUAACAAAUACCCAUUUAUCACUGAAACGUGGCCCUGAAACAACUAAUAAAGUCAAUUGCUUUAAA